AGCUCAGAGGCGGAUCAAUGUACAAGAACAAAUAAAAUAUGGAAAGACAGAUACAGUUUUUAUUAUUUUCUGGGGAAAAGUCCAAUCUCUAGGCUCAUAGAGUCAGUGUUUCCAUAGCCAACCAAGGAUGGCCAGUCCUGGGGGCUGUACCUAAUUAGCAUAGGAUGUCCGGCUGCUGUUGACCACCAAGGUCUCAGAACAGAGCAGCCCUACUGGAGAGGCAGAGAAUAGAGAGAGGAUGAAGUUAUGGGCAGCUGGGAUAUCCAUCUUCUCCUGCGCUGGGAUGUCAGAGUUCCUGGUUUUUGGGCCUUCAGACUUCUGGACUCUGGAAUACAACAGAGCUCUCCUGGUUCCCAGACUUUCAGACUCAGACUAAAUCAAAGCAUCUGCUUUCUUCAUUCUUCAGCUCACAGAUCAUGGGACUUCUCAGCCUCCAUAAUACUGGAUCCCCAGUUCUACUCUGGCACCCCAGUGGUCCACGGCUGAGGAACAUCAUAAGAAAACACCUUUGGCAUGACCAUUAGUGCGGAAGGCUGACUUUCUCCAAGCUGAAACUUCUGCAGAGACUUAAUGGAUUUUUGCUGAACCUGGACAAUGUGAACAGGAAAGAUUCAUCUGUGCUCACAGGUGCUGCGUCUACCAACUCCAUGUGAUUCUGGUGAAGUGGUGAAAUGUGUGGCUCCCUUAGUUAGUAAAAACCACGUAGCUCUUACUUCUUCCAGGGAUUGUUCUAAAUUCUUUUAAAAUAUUAAUUUAUUUAACACAACAAGCUUAUGUGGUGAUUUCCAUUGUUUACCUCAUUUAACAGGUGAGAAAAUAGAAGCAUGGGUAAAUGUAGUGUCUUAAUGAAAUUUAUACAGCUAGUAAGUGACAGAGCUGGAAUUUACAUACAGAUUGUUACACUCAAGGGUCUCUGGUUUUAAAUCCUACAGUGUGAUGAACAUGUGACUGAGACUGGCCCAUUGGAUGACUCCACUUUCUCGAAUCAGUGAGUGGUUCAGGGUUGUCAUGUGGAUUCUUACACGGUGAACCCAGUUUAUGGCAAUUAUUGAUCUGAAUCCUGGGAGAGAGAAUUUUACUUUCCUUUUUUGUAAGAUUGCUUGUUAUGAAGAUGAUGUUUUUUAAAGUGGUUCACCUUGGAGUGUUAGUUGCUAGUUUGCUUCAUGAUAACUGCUAAAAAACUUGACGAAGCCAUGUUUGAGCCAGUCUGCCUGGAACUUUCCAAUACACGAGGCACUAAAUUACCUUUUAUACCUAAGCUGAUCUGAUGUGUUAUUGGAAGAGACCUGACAAACAGAUAUCAUAAAGCCACUGGUAUUGUCUGCAGCAAUGUUAAAUAGACUCAAUAUACAUCUAUACACCCAUAUAUGCCCUCAUAUAUGCACUAAAUACACCUUGACUUUAGGAGUUGGAGACUAAAUUGAUUUAAACUAAGAAGAAGUCAAAUAAAAUGCCUUAGAUAAUCUAUAAAUUACAAAUAAAAUAAAUAUAAAAUAUCUAAUAAGCUAACAGUUCGAGCAUUCUGCAAUUAAGGAAACUGCCUAGUUCACUUUGUUCUUUUGUUCUGUUUUGAAUUUCAUUAAUUUGCGUCUCCAUCUUUAUUAUUGUGUUUUUUCUCCU
ensembl:lncRNA novel transcript